AGAUCAAAGAAGAGUUCAGUAGGAUAACAACACUUCAUCUGGAGCAAACCUUUUUGUCAAAACUGGACACACACUCCCAAACUCCUGGGAGGCACAAAAAUCAGACCGAUGCUGGAUUCACUUGGCCAGCAAUAUGUUGAAGGCAGAAGAGAUCUCAUCAUACGUUGCCUAAUGAAGUUCCUUGGAGAGUCAGGAGAGGAGCUAAUCAAAGACUGCCAGGAUGUAUGUGCCUCAGUUCAUCAUGUCUUCAAGAUCCUCGUCAUCAGUGGAAAUGCAGCACAGGAAGCCCACAAUUCUGCCCAUGUGUCAGUCAUCGUCGAAGGAAAAUAGGUUCUGGAUGACUGCAAAACCAUGGCAAAGGCUUGCCUUCUGCUCAUGGGCUUAAUCUACGCCAUGAACUUGAGUUACCCACUGAAACUGAAAUAUACAUUUGAAGUCUUUCAGAAGCUGUUUCUAGAGCUGGAUGUUCUGAAAAUGUCGCCCAAGGUACGGUCUUUGCGAAAUAAACUUCUACUGUGAGUGUUUCCACAGUGUACAUAUGCUGUUCUAGCAUAUAGCUGUUCUUUGGUGUGUGGAAGCAGUACAUGACGCUUGUCAAUGUAACUUGUUGAAAGAUGUUGCUGUUGUGCUUAAAAGUUACAAUUCAGGACAUUUUAUCGGGUCUUUUACCUGUAAUUGUUCGCAUUAUUGUGAAUGUUCUAAAAAAAAAAAAUCACUGUUUUAUAAUGUUUUGUCUGGUAAUGAUGCUGGAAAAUGUAAUAAAAGUGCUCUUGUU